rnacentral:rRNA from 1 species
GAUGAACGCUGGCGGCGUGCUUAACACAUGCAAGUCGAACGGAAAGGCCGAAGCUUGCUUCGGUACUCGAGUGGCGAACGGGUGAGUAACACGUGGGUGAUCUGCCCUGUACUUCGGGAUAAGCCUGGGAAACUGGGUCUAAUACCGGAUAGGAGCGUCCACCGCAUGGUGGGUGUUGGAAAGAUUUAUCGGUUUUGGAUGGACUCGCGGCCUAUCAGCUUGUUGGUGAGGUAAUGGCUCACCAAGGCGACGACGGGUAGCCGGCCUGAGAGGGUGACCGGCCACACUGGGACUGAGACACGGCCCAGACUCCUACGGGAGGCAGCAGUGGGGAAUAUUGCACAAUGGGCGCAAGCCUGAUGCAGCGACGCCGCGUGAGGGAUGACGGCCUUCGGGUUGUAAACCUCUUUCAGUAGGGAAGAAGCGAAAGUGACGGUACCUGCAGAAGAAGCACCGGCUAACUACGUG